GGGGGGGGGGGGGGGGGGGCGGGGGACGGGCGGGGGGAGCGGGGGGACGGGGAGCUGGCUCCUCUGACGUUAGCGGCGGACGGGUGAGUAACACGUGGAUAACCUACCUGUAAGACUGGGAUAACUUCGGGAAACCGGAGCUAAUACCGGAUAACAUAUUGAACCGCAUGGUUCCCUAGUGAAAGACGGCUUUGCUGUCCCUUAUAGAUGGAUCCGCGCCGCAUUAGCUAGUUGGUAAGGUAACGGCUUACCAAGGCAACGAUGCGUAGCCGACCUGAGAGGGUGAUCGGCCACACUGGAACUGAGACACGGUCCAGACUCCUACGGGAGGCAGCAGUAGGGAAUCUUCCGCAAUGGGCGAAAGCCUGACGGAGCAACGCCGCGUGAGUGAUGAAGGUCUUCGGAUCGUAAAACUCUGUUAUUAGGGAAGAACAAAUGUGUAAGUAACUAUGCACGUCUUGACGGUACCUAAUCAGAAAGCCACGGCUAACUACGUG
rnacentral:rRNA from 1 species